GUGUCAGCAGCCGCGGUAAUACGUAGGUGGCAAGCGUUGUCCGGAUUUAUUGGGUUUAAAGGGUGCGUAGGCGGUUUUAUAAGUCAGUGGUGAAAUACAAUAGCUUAACUAUUGAGGUGCCAUUGAUACUGUAAGACUUGAGUACAGACGAGGUAGGCGGAAUUGACGGUGUAGCGGUGAAAUGCUUAGAUAUCGUCAAGAACACCGAUAGCGAAGGCAGCUUACUAGACUGUAACUGACGCUGAGGCACGAAAGUGUGGGGAUCAAACAGGAUUAGAAACCCGAGUAGUCC
rnacentral:rRNA from 1 species